rnacentral:sRNA from 1 species
AGCUAUUCUUACUUAUCUUUUUAUACAAGAUUUUUUUUACAAGAUUAUAUUUGCACCAUCAGAUGUAGAAUGCCAACUUUGUUCAAGCUCCCCCUAGCCAUAUACCAUAUAUUCAUGUUCUGCUUGAUUUCUACUCUGUGGUUGAGCAAAAUCCUGUGUAUAAUACUUAUGCAUCUUGCAUUGCACUUCAGCUUAAUUUUUGUAGAGGCCACCCUGUGCAGCUUUCUCAAUUUCAUCCAUAACAAAACAAGGGGCAUUUUACAUACUCUUAGGUAAUUGCUUGGGUACAUUGUAUUUUGAUAUCCUUCAGGUCUACUAUUUGAACUCAUCAAUUAGUGAGUAGGAUGAAUAGAUAUUUACUUAGGCUUGAUGUUGCUACUUCCCUAAAGAGAUUUUCUAUUGGUUCUAUCAACUAUAAAUAAUUUAUUCCUUCAUAUUCUGCCAGUGUCUCUUUCAGUGUGAUACGUGAAUUCAGUAUGCAUAUGCUCUAUUAACCUAGGUGCUACUUUCAUUAUGUCAUGAUAAAUUGAGUUAUGCCCAUUUCAGAUAUAUGAUCUCUACUUUUAUUUAGCUCAUAAAGGUAGAUUGUUUCUCCUUUGGCAGUUCAAACCGGUAUGCUCCGUUUGUAUCAAGUAAAACAGUUACGGAGUUGCUAGAAAUAUGGCGCCAUAUACUACAGUCGAUUUUUUUUCAGCCACUUACACAGUAGUUACACCUCAUUUACACCCCACUUACAUAUGUAAUUAGUAUAUAAUUUUCGAAUUUACAUAUGUAAUUUUAGUACUUACAUAUGUAAUUUUGAGACUUACAUUGUAAAUACACUAAAAUUACAUAUGUAAUUUAGGGACUUACAAUGUAAAUACAUGCCGACUAUUUUUUGAUAAAAAAUAUGGCGCCAUAAAUAUAGCUACACCCAACAGUUAUAGGUCAUGUACAUGGAACAAUUGAUACAUUUUUCGCUAUAUUGUAAUGAUAAAGGAUAUUUCAUUGAUUAGCAAAAGAUUCAUAUAACUUUUGAUUUGAU